UCUACCCAUGUGGUACGCCAUUGACCCUCCUCAUUACCAUCUUAUGUUUUGCAAUUUUCUUGGGGGAGGUAAUUAGUUUGAGAAGGUGGGAUGUUGUUGGUGCAAGGCUAUAUUAUGUUCUAUGGACGAAGCGCAAGGAACAAAGAUGUAAAGCUAUCAAGCAAUAGACCAACAAAGGAACGCUCGGUAUUUGUUCUUGAAUCAAUGACAAAGAGUAAGGGCUAGUGAUCAAUAAAAUAAGAUUAGUGGGGCAUCUUGC